AAUCAACGCUGGCGGCGUGCCUCAGACAUGCAAGUCGAACGAUUAAAGCUCUCUUCGGAGAGUGUAUAGAGUGGCGCACGGGUGAGUAACACGUAAGUAAUCUACCCUCGGGUGGGAAUAACAUUCGGAAACGAAUGCUAAUACCGCAUAAUGCAGCGGCUCCUAAUGGAGACAGUUGUUAAAGGAUUUAUUCGCCUGAGGAGGAGCUUGCGGCAGAUUAGCUAGUUGGU
rnacentral:rRNA from 1 species